UGCUUUCCUCCCCGUCUCCUCUCUCUUGCAAUCUCCUCCGCCAACACCCAAUCCCGGCCGCCUCCGCCGCCGAUUGGCGCCACCAUGACGCUGCUCGUCUCUUCGUACUCCGAUUCCACGGCUAACCCUAUACGCCCAAUGCCUCCGCCUGGCCGCAAAGAAGCCGUCCGCUCCAAGGUGCUCGGUGGGGAUUCGUUCUGGCGCCCAUUCAUCUCUCGCGGGAACCGGAAGAGCUGCAGGGUACAUGGUGCGUGCUGGCCGCCCGAGGUGUGCUCUGGCUGUAUGGGCUGCGGUGGCGAAGCUUGCCGCUGAAGUAAGGGAACCGGAUGCGGGUGAGCUCGAGCGCGUAUCAUGCUUCAGAUAAGUGGUUAUGUUGACCAGAUCACCAGGGGAAUGGUAAAUUUGCUUUCCAGGUUUUGGAGUUGGACACAUGCGAGAUACCAAAACAAAAGGCAAGAUAGCCUGCCAAUGCCACCAGUGUAAUAUUCUUAAAAGUCUCAUGCCCUGACGCACGUAUUCUAAUUGGGGGUAUCAACACACAGUUCCACAUUUUUAAGGUAUAUGGAUUUGGGGCACUCCUGUUGAAGUUGAUGGCUUCAAAGUGUCCGUCCUUUACCUGAACAAGGAUUUGAGAGCAUUGGAAAUUUAAUAGUAAAGAUUAUUAAUUUCUCAUUCAGAUGUGUUUUGGGGCCUUUUGUUUUCAUCUUAGGAUAUUUUCUCUUGUAAUUUUUUAUACUUCUCUUCUUGUCUACAAUCUCCCUGAGAGAAUGCAUUUCUAUGGUCUUUGAUGCCUUCAGUCCCUCACCGCAACUCAUAUUUGAUACUCUGCUUUAACUAAAUACUCUGCUUUAACUAAAUAAGCAUCUCCUUGUCUUAGUAUGAGCUUGAUAUACAAACUGAACAACACGUUGAACAUGAAGAUCUGGGAGAGGGAGCAACCCACAUCCUGUGUUGGAAAAAUAAAGGAAAACGAUGAGGAUGAGACCUACGGUGGUUGAAAUCAAUCAACCUGAAAACAGUACUGUUCAUCUGCUCCCUAUGACCUGAUGCAAUCUCCUGAGACCAAGGCACUGGGCUUUGCUGCAGGAUUUAGAUCUUCCUAUCUAUUUGCCUACGUGUUUGGUAUACUUUUCACCCUCUCAUGUUUCCGUUUCCACAAAACAGAAUCUGAUGUUGAAUACUACCAUUUUCAAGGUAUCGGGAUGUACAAUACGUAGAAACUGGUGCCACAGGAGGCCUAUCACAUUGGAUGUUCUUCCUAUGAAUUCAUCAUCUUGAUGGUGCUUAUAAUUAGAGCUGCUGCUUGGUUUUUUCCCUGGAUCAUCCAAAAUUCUUCGAUGUUUAAUGGGGAUUUUGUGGAACAACUCAUUCACGGACGCGUGUGUGACGGCGUUGAGUAUGUGUGGCCAGGGAUGGAGUUGACAGGGAGUGGCAGCAAGCGGUGGGUGGUCAUCCUAGCGAGCCAGGGCUUCGGCGAGAACAUCGCCGACUUCGGAGACGAUGACGUAAUCUACUCCGCCUCCAUAGGCGGGUCGCGUGGAACCGCCUUCUGUUCGGACCUGGAACCGUCCUGUCUUGACUCUUCAAUCCCGUCGACCCGGAGUCUAGCAUCGUCACCUGAAAGUGGGUGAGAGCCUGGACGUCGCCCACAGAGAAGCAUGGUGCUCAUCGAGUAGUGUGCAUCCACUGGCUCAACAAUAUUAGGUGCAUAACUUCUAUGGCAACACCUUUUUUGCGGAUAAUCUAUGGCAACACCUUGUAGUAUUGACAAUGAUCACGCUACUCAGGUCGUCUUCUCAAGUCUUGAAGUAUAUAUGAUCGCCAUAAUUUUUAUCUUUGUAGCAUCUAAAAGUUCUCAGGUUUUGUCUAUUUUCCAUUUAGUUUCCAUGGCCUGUUCUAAGAACACGCAAGGGGGUAAUUCGCUCAGAAAUAUGAAGUGCAAGUAUACGCAUUUAGUAGUUGCAGGAACUGAGACAAAGGCCAAAUAUAGCAUGCUUGGUAGGAGAACUACGCAAUUAACGUUGGAGCUGUUGGCAGAAAUAAAUGGGGAACACCAAACACUGGCCUAACAUUCCUGUGAUGUGGGGGUGGAGGAGACAAGGUUUGAUCCGUUAUGGAGACCAAAGGUUACUUGAUUGUCUGGAGAGAGAAAGAAAGUUGUAACAUAUGAUCGUAAACAGUAACACAUGCAGAAAGUAGGAAGAUCGGAAUAGGCUAGAUAAUCUAAAAAAAAGGAAGAGGCUAAAUUG